rnacentral:lncRNA from 1 species
CAAUUGUUACCUUUAAAACCUCCAUCUAUAAAUUAGUUUGGAUCUCCUUUAUUAUAGCUCUUCUACUUGUAUACUAAAGCUUAUUGAAAAGCUAAAAAUGAGAUAUAGCUUUUCUUAAAAUUUAAAAUCAAAAAAAAAAAAUACAAGAAAUGGCAUAGAAAAUGCCAAACUUAUCUUACAAACUGAUGCUUCAAAAAUUCCAACAAUCCCUCUUCCACAAACUUGUAUAGAUCUCUCUUUUCACAAAUUUUCUUAUUAAAUGCUAAAACUUAUUUAAAAACUAAAAAAAAGAUCCAUAUUUUUUUAAAAUAUCAAAACCAAAAGAAAAAAAUAUAAGAAAUGGUACAAAAAUCCUUGAACUGGUCUUGAAUUUUGUUGCUUGAAAAAUUGAGCAAUCUCUCUCCUACAAACUUAUAUGAAUCUCUCUUUUUAUAGCUUUUCUUAUUGCAUACUUAAGAUUUUUAGAGAGCUAAUCAUAAAAUCUAGCUUAUUUCAAAAUUCCAAUAUAAAAAACUAAAAAUUCAAUGAAUGGCAUAAAAAAUCCCAAAUUGGUCUUGAAUCAUGCUGCCUAAAAAUUCUAGUGACCUUUCUCCCACAAAUUUGCAUGGAUCUUUAUUGUCACAAUUCUUCUUCUUGCAUGCCAAGGCUUAUUGAAAAAUAAACAAUAAGAUCUAGGUACUUUCAAAAUCUCAAGACAAAAAGAUGAAAAUU